AUGAAACACUCCUACGGGAGGCAGCAGUGAGGAAUAUUGGACAAUGGUCGGGAGACUGAUCCAGCCAUGCCGCGUGCAGGAUGAAGGUCCUAUGGAUUGUAAACUGCUUUUGUAAGGGAAGAAUAAGGAGUACGCGUACUUUGAUGACGGUACCUUACGAAUAAGCAUCGGCUAACUCCGUGCCAGCAGCCGCGGUAAUACGGAGGAUGCGAGCGUUAUCCGGAAUCAUUGGGUUUAAAGGGUCCGUAGGCGGGCUGAUAAGUCAGAGGUGAAAGCGCUUAGCUCAACUAAGCAACUGCCUUUGAAACUGUCAGUCUUGAAUGAUUGUGAAGUAGUUGGAAUGUGUAGUGUAGCGGUGAAAUGCUUAGAUAUUACACAGAACACCGAUAGCGGAGGCAUAUUACUAACAAUUUAUUGACGCUGAUGGACGAAAGCGUGGGGAGCGAACAGGAUUAGAAACCCUGGUAGUCCGAAGUUC
rnacentral:rRNA from 1 species